rnacentral:rRNA from 1 species
GACGAACGCUGGCGGCGCGCUUAACACAUGCAAGUCGAGCGAAGCGGCGGACGGGUGAGUACCACGUGAGUAACCUGCCUUAGACCUUGGGAUAGCCUCGGGAAACCGGGAUUAAUACAAAAUGGUCUAGGAUGGACUCGCGUCCCAUUAGCUAGUUGGUGGGUAACGGCCCACCAAGGCGACGAUGGGUAGCCUGCAUGUGAGAGUGAACGGACACUCUGGAGCUGGGAAACGGUCCAAACUCUGCGGGAGGGAGCAGUGGGGAAUAGUGCACAAUGGCGGGAACGCUGAUGCAGCUACGCCGCGUGAACGCAGUAGGCGUGGGAGUCGUAAUGUUCUUUUAUAUGGGAAGCGGUACCAGAAGAAAAAGCCCCGGCUAACUACGUGCCAGCAGCCGCGGUAAUUC